rnacentral:rRNA from 1 species
UUACGACCAGAUCACGUUAAAAUACCUGUUCCUGUACGAUCACCGAAGUUAAGCAACAUCGAGCCUGGUCAGUACCUAGAUGGGUGACCGCUUGGGAAUAUUUGGA